rnacentral:rRNA from 1 species
CCUGCGCGGCUUAAUACAUGCAAGUCGAACGGUAAUUCCGCCUUCGGGCGGGAACGAGUGGCGCACGGGUGAGUAACACGUAUGCAACCUACCCUGAACAGGGGCAUAACUCUGCGAAAGCGGGGCUAAUACCCCAUAGUAUUCCUAAAAGGCAUCUUUUUGGAAUCAAAGUCUUCGGGCAGUUUAGGAUGGGCAUGCGCCCCAUUAGCUUGUUGGUGAGGUAACGGCUCACCAAGGCUGAGAUGGGUAGGGGUUCUGAGAGGACUAUCCCCCACACUGGUACUGAGACACGGACCAGACUCCUACGGGAGGCAGCAGUAAGGAAUAUUGGGCAAUGGGCGAGAGCCUGACCCAGCCAUGCCGCGUGCAGGAUGACGGCCCUAUGGGUUGUAAACUGCUUUUCUAUGGGAAUAAACUUGUGUACUUGUACAUGAUUGCAGGUACCAUAGGAAUAAGCAUCGGCUAACUCCGUGCCAGCAGCCGCGGUAAUACGGAGGAUGCAAGCGUUAUCCGGAUUUAUUGGGUUUAAAGGGUGCGUAGGCGGACAUUUAAGUCAGAGGUGAAAUACCCGGGCUCAACCCGGGCUGUGCCUAUGAAACUAGAUGUCUUGAGGGCAACCGAGGUGGGCGGAAUGUGGAGUGUAGCGGUGAAAUGCAUAGAUAUUCCACAGAACACCAAUAGCGAAGGCAGCUCACCAGAUUGCAACUGACGCUGAUGCACGAAAGCGUGGGGAGCAAACAGGAUUANAUACCCUGGUA